rnacentral:rRNA from 1 species
UACAGAGGGUGCAAGCGUUAAUCGGAAUUACUGGGCGUAAAGGGCGCGUAGGUGGUUUAUUAAGUUGGAUGUAAAAUACCCGGGCUUAACCUGGGUUUGCCAUCCAAAACUGAUAAGCUAGAGAGCAGCAGAGGGAAGUGGAAUUUCCGGUGUAGCGGUGAAAUGCGUAGAUAUCGGAAGGAACACCAGAGGCGAAGGCGACUUUCUGGGCUGCCACUGACACUGAGGCGCGAAAGCAUGGGUAGCGAAC